CCUACGGGAGGCAGCAGCAAGGAAUUUUCCCCAAUGGGCGCAAGCCUGAGGGAGCAACGCCGCGUGCGGGAUGACGGCCUUCGGGUUGUAAACCGCUUUUGGGGGGGAAGAGAGAGACGGUACCCUCCGAAUAAGUUUCGGCUAACUCUGUGCCAGCAGCCGCGGUAAU
rnacentral:rRNA from 1 species